AUUGAACGCUGGCGGCAUGCUUUACACAUGCAAGUCGAACGGUAACAGGCCGCAAGGUGCUGACGAGUGGCGAACGGGUGAGUAAUGCAUCGGAACGUGCCCAGUCGUGGGGGAUAACGCAGCGAAAGCUGCGCUAAUACCGCAUACGAUCUAUGGAUGAAAGCGGGGGACCAUAAGGCCUCUCGCGAUUGGAGCGGCCGAUGUCAGAUUAGGUAGUUGGUGGGGUAAAGGCUCACCAAGCCAACGAUCUGUAGCUGGUCUGAGAGGACGACCAGCCACACUGGGACUGAGACACGGCCCAGACUCCUACGGGAGGCAGCAGUGGGGAAUUUUGGACAAUGGGCGCAAGCCUGAUCCAGCAAUGCCGCGUGCAGGAAGAAGGCCUUCGGGUUGUAAACUGCUUUUGUACGGAACGAAACGGUCCUGGUUAAUACCCGGGGCUAAUGACGGUACCGUAAGAAUAAGCACCGGCUAACUACGUGCCAGCCGCCGCUGUAAGAC
rnacentral:rRNA from 1 species